rnacentral:rRNA from 1 species
GAUGAACGCUGGCGGCGUGCCUAAUACAUGCAAGUCGAGCGAACGGACGAGAAGCUUGCUUCUCUGAUGUUAGCGGCGGACGGGUGAGUAACACGUGGAUAACCUACCUAUAAGACUGGGAUAACUUCGGGAAACCGUAGCUAAUACCGGAUAAUAUUUUGAACCGCAUGGUUCAAAAGUGAAAGACGGUCUUGCUGUCACUUAUAGAUGGAUCCGCGCUGCAUUAGCUAGUUGGUAAGGUAACGGCUUACCAAGGCAACGAUGCAUAGCCGACCUGAGAGGGGGAUCGGCCACCGUGGACUAGGACACGGUGCGAGCCCCUUCGGGGGGGCAGCAGGGGGAAAUUUCCCGCAAGGGGCAAAACCCUGCGGAGGAACCGCGCGUGAGGGAAUAAGGUUUUCGGAUUGGAAAACCCUUUUUUUAGGGAAAAAAAAAUUGGGAAGGAACUUGGCACCACUUUGCGGGUCCCAAUCAGAAAGCCACGGGUAAAUUCGUG